GCUUAAAAUUAUUUUUAGCUUUUGAUUUUUGGGAUGAAGGUUGACCAAUGUCCCAUGGUCAACCUCACCUUUUCUUGGAAAUUUAUUUCCCAUUUUCAAUUUAGUUUUGAUUUAUUUUUGACAUAGUUUGGUUGGUUGACUUUUGUUUUGACCUCUAUUUUAUUUCAAUUAAUUCAUACGCCAAUUUUCAUUAUUAUUAAAAUCUUUUUAGGGGAUGAUGAUGUCCUGACCCCACCUAACUUAUUUUAAUUUUU
rnacentral:lncRNA from 1 species